CUACGGGCCGCACCAGUGAGGAAUAUUGCACAAUGGGGGGAACCCUGAUGCAGCAACGCCGCGUGGAGGAUGACGCAUUUCGGUGUGUAAACUCCUUUUAUAUGUCAAGAAAAUGACGGUAGCAUAUGAAUAAGCGCCGGCUAACUCCGUGCCAGCAGCCGCGGUAAUACGGAGGGCGCAAGCGUUACUCGGAAUCACUGGGCGUAAGGGACGCGUAGGCGGGUUGAAAAGUCAGGUGUGAAAGCCUACAGCUUAACUGUAGAACUGCACUUGAAACUCUCAAUCUAGAGUAUGGGAGGGGCAGAUGGAAUUAGUGGUGUAGGGGUAAAAUCCGUAGAUACCACUAGGAAUACCUAAAGCGAAGGCGAUCUGCUGGAACAUUGCUGACGCUAAGGCGUGAAAGCGUGGGGAGCAAACAGGAUUAGAUACCCGCGUAGUC
rnacentral:rRNA from 1 species